GCCCCCAUAGCUCAGGUGGAUAGAGCGACGGAUUCCUAAUCCGUAGGUCGUGAGUUCGAGUCUCGCUGGGGGUACCA
rnacentral:tRNA from 1 species